rnacentral:rRNA from 1 species
AAGAGACAGCAGCAGCCACGGGAAUACAGAGGGUGCGAGCGUUAAUCGGAUUUACUGGGCGUAAAGCGUGCGUAGGCGGCUUCUUAAGUCGGAUGUGAAAUCCCUGAGCUUAACUUAGGAAUUGCAUUCGAUACUGGGAAGCUAGAGUAUGGGAGAGGAUGGUAGAAUUCCAGGUGUAGCGGUGAAAUGCGUAGAGAUCUGGAGGAAUACCGAUGGCGAAGGCAGCCAUCUGGCCUAAUACUGACGCUGAGGUACGAAAGCAUGGGGAGCAAACAGGAUUAGAGACCCCUGUAGUCCCUGUCUCUUAUAA